GACGAACGCUGGCGGCGUGCUUAACACAUGCAAGUCGAACGGAAAGGCCCUGCUUUUGUGGGGUGCUCGAGUGGCGAACGGGUGAGUAACACGUGAGUAACCUGCCCUUGACUUUGGGAUAACUUCAGGAGACUGGGGCUAAUACCGGAUAGGAGCUCCUGCUGCAUGGUGGGGGUUGGAAAGUUUCGGCGGUUGGGGAUGGACUCGCGGCUUAUCAGCUUGUUGGUGGGGUAGUGGCUUACCAAGGCUUUGACGGGUAGCCGGCCUGAGAGGGUGACCGGCCACAUUGGGACUGAGAUACGGCCAGACUCCUACGGGAGGCAGCAGUGGGGAAUAUUGCACAAUGGGCGGAAGCCUGAUGCAGCAACGCCGCGUGCGGGAUGACGGCCUUCGGGUUGUAACCCGCUUUCGCCUGUGACGAAGCGUGAGUGACGGUAAUGGGUAAAGAAGCACCGGCUAACUACGUG
rnacentral:rRNA from 1 species